rnacentral:tRNA from 1 species
CCGUCACCGGACGGCAGGUCGCAUCCGCGGGCCGUCAGCUCGCGGCUGGGAUCGCCGCUCCAGACGGGCCGUUCGGCGCGGUCGCAGUGGAC